rnacentral:misc_RNA from 1 species
UGUGGGAGCUGGCUUGCCUGCGAUACAGGCGACUCGGUCUUUGUGUUUCACCGAGGUGACGCCAUCGCAGGCGAGCCAGCUCCCACA